rnacentral:rRNA from 1 species
UAGGGAAUAUUGGUCAAUGGAGGCAACUCUGAACCAGCCAUGCCGCGUGCAGGAAGAAGGCGUUCUGCGUUGUAAACUGCUUUUGAUUGGGAACAAAUGACUCCUGCGGGAGUAGCUGAGUGUACCAAUAGAAUAAGCCACGGCUAACUACGUGCCAGCAGCCGCGGUAAUACGUAGGUGGCAAGCGUUGUCCGGAUUUAUUGGGUUUAAAGGGUGCGUAGGCGGCAUUAUAAGUCAGUGGUGAAAGCCGAUCGCUUAACGAUCGAACUGCCAUUGAUACUGUAGUGCUUGAGUAUAGAUGAGGUAGGCGGAAUUGACAGUGUAGCGGUGAAAUGCAUAGAUAUUGUCAAGAACACCAAUUGCGAAGGCAGCUUACUAAGUUAUAACUGACGCUGAGGCA